GAGGGUAUAGCUCAGUGGUAGAGUGUCUGCUUAGCAUGCAUGAGGUCCUGAGUUCAAUCCUCAGUACCUCCA
rnacentral:tRNA from 1 species